rnacentral:lncRNA from 1 species
CUUCUCAAACACUUAUAUCAGAAAUAUUCAUGUGCACAUAUGGCCAAAAGCACAUAAAGGAUCAUCUACAUAAUUCUUUUUUAAUCCUUAAUUCACCUAUAAUACCACCUACAAAAUUUACAAAGCAAGUAUGCUACUAAGAUUACCAAUUCCUUAGCUUAAUUUAACUGAAUGCACUUCGUUAGAAAGAGAGCAUUUGUACGGAAAAUGCAAGUAAAUGAACUGCAUAAGUUGCUUAAAGAGAAGUUCAAAAUACUUGCUUAAUGUUUGAAAACAAAUAGCAUAAAUUUGUUCUCCAGGCCCAACUGAUAUGACAGCAAAUACCAACAACGACAACAAUAUUAAGGAAUUUUAUAAAUAUGUAUCGGUGCUAUAGAUUAUACAUUCAUGAAGGCAAUAGCGUAAGUCUUCUAUAGGUGAUGGCAAUACUCAAACUAAUCUUAUGCCUAAUCACUGAGGGCCACAUCAACUUGAAGGAUAUACUACUUGUGACUCUUUAUGAGAAAAGUAAAUGAGAGCAUGAAUAUAAAUCUUACAAUGUCAAAAAUUCCUCUCCAUGGAAUUACAUGGAUAUGCUAGUCGCCUGAAGGCCCAAUAUUUCUUUUCACAGCACCUCUUCAUGUCUAAAUAUUACCAUCUCGAUCAAUUAAUAACUAGUGCCAACAAGGGAAAGAUCCAAAACACAGGUACAUUCCUACUUAUUUUUCUUUAUCUUGCCGCCAUUUCUAAUGGCGAUGUCCCCCUAAUCUUGAACGCUUAUUUUUCUUUAUCUUGCCGCCAUUUCUAAUGGCGAUGUCCCCCUAAUCUUGAACGAAGCAUUAAACACAUUAAAAAAGAAAAAUAAUUAAAGGAUUAGGAGACAGGAAUUAAGCCUACACGAGCUUACUUUAUCUUGCCGCCAUUUCUAAUGGCGAUGGCAUUAAACACAUUAAAAAAAGAAAAAAUAAUUAAAGGAUUAGGAGACAGGAAUUAAGCCUACACGAGCGGAUAACAGAAUAUGAAAGAGGAAGGGCAAGUUUCGC